GAUGGAUGUGGUUUCCUCUUUAAUUGUAUAGUUGUGGGACUUCUAUUCAGCUUUAUUUUUGAUGGUUCUGAGUGAUGGUUGUUCUGUAGUUUUGUUGUAAUUUUGGUGUGGUUGUGUAAGAAGCUUGCAUUUCUAACCUAUGCCUCCAUCUUGACUGGAA